GCGCUGCAUUAGCUAGUUGGUAAGGUAACGGCUUACCAAGGCAACGAUGCAUAGCCGACCUGAGAGGGUGAUCGGCCACACUGGAACUGAGACACGGUCCAGACUCCUACGGGAGGCAGCAGUAGGGAAUCUUCCGCAAUGGGCGAAAGCCUGACGGAGCAACGCCGCGUGAGUGAUGAAGGUCUUCGGAUCGUAAAACUCUGUUAUUAGGGAAGAACAUAUGUGUAAGUAACUGUGCACAUCUUGACGGUACCUAAUCAGAAAGCCACGGCUAACUACGUGCCAGCAGCCGCGGUAAUACGUAGGUGGCAAGCGUUAUCCGGAAUUAUUGGGCGUAAAGCGCGCGUAGGCGGUUUUUUAAGUCUGAUGUGAAAGCCCACGGCUCAACCGUGGA
rnacentral:rRNA from 1 species